UACGUAGGGUGCGAGCGUUAAUCGGAAUUACUGGGCGUAAAGCGUGCGUAGGCGGUUAUGUAAGACAGUUGUGAAAUCCCCGGGCUCAACCUGGGAAUUGCAUCUGUGACUGCAUAGCUAGAGUACGGUAGAGGGGGAUGGAAUUCCGCGUGUAGCAGUGAAAUGCGUAGAUAUGCGGAGGAACACCGAUGGCGAAGGCAAUCCCCUGGACCUGUACUGACGCUCAUGCACGAAAGCGUGGGGAGCAAACAGG
rnacentral:rRNA from 1 species